CCUACGAGAUGCAGCAGUAGGGAAUCUUCCACAAUGGACGAAAGUCUGAUGGAGCAACGCCGCGUGAGUGAAGUAGGGUUUCGGCUCGUAAAGCUCUGUUGGUAGUGAAGAAAGAUAGAGGUAGUAACUGGCCUUUAUUUGACGGUAAUUACUUAGAAAGUCACGGCUAACUACGUGCCAGCAGCCGCGGUAAUACGUAGGUGGCAAGCGUUGUCAGGAUUUAUUGGGCGUAAAGCGAGUGCAGGCGGGUCAAUAAGUCUGAUGUGAAAGCCUUCGGCGCAACCGGAGAAUAGCCUCAGAAAGUGUUGAAAUUGAGUGCAGAAGAGGAGAGUGGAACUCCAUGUGUAGCGGUGGAAUGCGUAGAGAUAUGGAAGAACACCAGUGGCGAAGGAGGCUCUCUGGUCUGCAACUGACGCUGAGGCUCGACAGCAUGGGUAGCGAACAGGAUUAGAUACCCCUGUAGUC
rnacentral:rRNA from 1 species